CUUUAGACUAUUUUUAUGGUGAAAAUAGUUACCGUAUUCAAAAAUAUGUCAUUUUUGUGUUCAAAUUCUUAAUUUUUAUAUUUCUAAAACUUAUUGAAAAAUUUAUAGAUCAAUACAACUUUUUUAAUUAUUAUUUUAUACAUACACCUUUCAUCAGAUAUACUUUUUUUUUAAAUCGGAUUUGGGGGAAGAGGUGUCAAAACUUUAAAUACGUAAAUAGAAAUUUGUCCACUUAACUUUGAAAAUGUUCCAGAAAUGCUGACACUUUGUUAUGAUCUUACAUUCAGCAUAGUAUUGAUGGCUUUAGUUGAUGCCAAUUAUUGUUUUUUUUUUGUACACAAACGUUGGAUGCCAAGGAAGAAUUAGUGAUGGAGGAGUUUUCAAAAAUACUUCUCUCUUUCAAAAAAUAGAGGAUAAUCAAUUGGUGUUUCCUCCUGACCAACCAUUAUCACCAAGAACUUUACCAAUUCCUUUUGUAUUUGUAGCGGACGAUGCUUUCGCCCUUUAUCCGCGUAUUAUGAAACCCUAUCCAGGGACAUACGAUAAAGGGAGCGUAGAAAGAAUUUUUAAUUAUCGACUCUUGCGAGCUAGACGUGUUGUUGAAAACGUGUUUGGUAAUAUUGCUUCAGUAUUUCGGGGUUUAAGAAAACCAUUAUUAUUGGAACCAGAAAAGGCUGCCAAUAUUACAAUAACUUGUACUUAGCUGCACAAUUUUUUAAGAAAAAGUAGAACAUCAAAGCAAAUUUAUACUCCUCAAGGUACAUUUGACAACGACAAUGAACAAGGAUUUAUUCCAAGAACAUGGCGUGAAGACCAAGGAGACUUGAGUUGUUUAUUACCGCUUCGGAGGGUACUGAGGAAACUUGGCGAGCAAGCUAAGGUCAUUAGGAAAGAAUUUUCAGAUUAUUUUAUUACUUCUGGCAAAGUAUCGUGGCAGGUUAUUGAAUAUAUUCAAAUUACCGUUCCAGUAUCUUUUUCAAGUGUAUCUGUUUUUGUGUAUUUAAUCAAAUUAUUCAAAAUGAAAUUACAAACGAAUGAAAAUAAUGUAGAACACCUGGUUGAAUAUAUGAAAAGAUCUGGAGUGUAUAUUUUUUGGAAAUAGCUGAAAACUUGAAAAUUUUUCGAAAUCGCACAGAGUUUGACCAAGAAGUAAUGAAUGAUGGGUUUGUCGUCGUACGUGAUCCGGAAGCAUUACGAACCUUUCGGAGCUGUGCCGAUUUAUAUAAAAGAGAAAUUCUGGCGGGUAAUUUAAUGAUGCUGUUCGAGGCAAAAAAACUAUUUAAAAUUUAUUAUUUAUAAUGUACGCUAUCCCAACGGCUCCACGGCAUUUGUUUGUAGUUCAGGCACUUGUUUUGUAAAGUUAUCAAAUAUUCAAGAACUUAUAAUUGUACGGAAGGUUCUUGAGGAGUUUGUUCUGAACUCCUAUUCUGUGUAUUAUUUAAUUUUACAUUUUCUACCUCACUGUUCGUGUAAAUUUUGUGAUGAACAAGUAUUUACAUGGACAGUGUAGAUUAAUUGUUGUAUAUAUAUUUAUAUAUAGUUUUGUAAAUAUAUUUAAAGUAUUAUAUUGAAAAAUUAAAAUAAAUAUAUAAAUAUGUCGUAUUAAUGGUGUGUGUGUGCUUUUGUUUUCACUAACUUAUAAAAAAAUGUAUUUAUUUCCUUAUUAAAUAAUCUAAUGGUAACAAUGUAGUAACAAUCAGGUCAUUUGUCCGGGUAAGUAUCGUAAAAAGAAAUGGUGAAUAGAUUAGUAUUUAUUAUAUUGUAAAGGUUAAAGAAUAUUAUCUUAUGUAAACAUGUAUGUGUGUGUGUGUACUACGCUCCGAUACACACUCAAUGAUUUCUAUAGUAUAUGAUGACGAAUAGUUUGUAAAUAACUGAAUUAUUAAAAAACAAAAAAACAACUCAGUUUAUAAAUGGUUAGAGGAGUACACAUAGCUGAAGGAGUGCAUCGGCUGUAUUGCAGUUCAGUGAUUUAUCUUAAACAUAAACAAGUAGAGAGAGGAGAGGGGUAGUAUGUUAUGAGAGGGUACCGAUAUGAAUGUCAAAUUAAUGGUCUCGUGGCAAGCGGAUGGAGGUGAAGGAGGUGACGAAAAAAAAAAUUCAUAGCACUAACUGCAAUUGUUUUCGAGUUAUGUGCAAAUUUCGGAAAAUUUGUAUUACGUGGUCUCCUCCUCCGUCAUACUGUGGCUGAUAGUAGUUAUUGUCAAAAAUGUACAUAUCAGUGUCGAGUUAUAUACUAUUAAUACGAUAUUCACCAUAUAUAGUUUACUCACGAAUAAUUU